rnacentral:rRNA from 1 species
AGUGAACGCUGGCGGUAGGCCUAACACAUACAAGUCGAACGGCAGCACAGUAAGAGCUUGCUCUUACGGGUGGCGAGUGGCGGACGGGUGAGGAAUACAUCGGAAUCUACUUUUUCGUGGGGGAUAACGUAGGGAAACUUACGCUAAUACCGCAUACGACCUACGGGUGAAAGCAGGGGAGCUUCGGACCUUGCGCGAUUGAAUGAGCCGAUGUCGGAUUAGCUAGUUGGCGGGGUAAAGGCCCACCAAGGCGACGAUCCGUAGCUGGUCUGAGAGGAUGAUCAGCCACACUGGAACUGAGACACGGUCCAGACUCCUACGGGAGGCAGCAGUGGGGAAUAUUGGACAAUGGGCGAAAGCCUGAUCCAGCCAUACCGCGUGUGUGAAGAAGGCCUUCGGGUUGUAAAGCCCUUUUGUUGGGAAAGAAAAGCAUCAGGUUAAUACCCCGCUGUUCUGACGGUACCCAAAGAAUAAGCACCGGCUAACUUCGUG